rnacentral:rRNA from 1 species
UACGUAGGGGGCAAGCGUUGUCCGGAAUUAUUGGGCGUAAAGGGCGCGUAGGCGGCGCGAGCAGUCGAUCGUGAAAGUCCGGAGCUCAACUCCGGAUCGGCGGUCGAUACUCUCGUGCUUGAGCACUGUAGAGGCAGAUGGAAUUCCGGGUGUAGCGGUGGAAUGCGUAGAGAUCCGGAAGAACACCGGUGGCGAAGGCGGCCUUCUGGACAGUGACUGACGCUGAGACGCGAAAGCGUGGGGAGCAAACAGG